UACGUAGGGUGCGAGCGUUGUCCGGAAUUAUUGGGCGUAAAGAGCUCGUAGGCGGUUUGUUGCGUCUAUCGUGAAAACCUGCAGCUUAACUGUGGGCUUGCGGUGGAUACGGGCAGACUUGAGUUCGGUAGGGGAGACUGGAAUUCCUGGUGUAGCGGUGAAAUGCGCAGAUAUCAGGAGGAACACCGGUGGCGAAGGCGGGUCUCUGGGCCGAUACUGACGCUGAGGCGCGACAGCGUGGGGAGCAAACAGG
rnacentral:rRNA from 1 species